GAAAGCAGGAAAGCUGGGGAGAAUUCCUCUGAGAAACAGGAAAGCUGGGGAGAAUUCCUCUGAGAAAGCAGGAAAGCUGGGGAGAAUUCCUCUGGGAAAGCAGGGCAGUCACAAGCACUCAGUUGUUACACGGGCUUUGCCCAGGGCAGGAUGCUUGCUCAGAAACACCUGACAAAGACCUAAGUUUUCACCUUGGCCUGAUCACGAGGGUCAGUGCAGGCCUAGCUAAGUGCUGAAGGAAAGCUGUGGUGCAAAGGCAAACUUCAAAGACUGGGAGAGGUACUUUCUUCCAUUUUUAGCUCCUAGUAUUCAAGGAAAUCUCUUACCAAAAUGUGAGCUGAACACAUGCUAAAAGA
rnacentral:lncRNA from 10 species